UUUUGGACAUGGGCGCAAGCCUGNUCCAGCAAUGCCGCGUGUGUGAAGAAGGCCUUCGGGUUGUAAAGCACUUUUGUCCGGGGAGAAAUCCCUUUCGUUAAUACCGGAGGGGGAUGACGGUACUGGAAGAAUAAGCACCGGCUAACUACGUGCCAGCAGCCGCGGUAAUACGUAGGGUGCGAGCGUUAAUCGGAAUUACUGGGCGUAAAGCGUGCGCAGGCGGUGCUGUAAGACCGAUGUGAAAUCCCCGGGCUUAACCUGGGAACUGCAUUGGUGACUGCAGCGCUGGAGUAUGGCAGAGGGGGGUGGAAUUCCACGUGUAGCAGUGAAAUGCGUAGAGAUGUGGAGGAACACCGAUGGCGAAGGCAGCCCCCUGGGCCAAUACUGACGCUCAUGCACGAAAGCGUGGGGAGCAAACAGGAUUAGAUACCCUGGUAGUCCACGCCCUAAACGAUGUCAACUGGUUGUCGGGCCUUCAUUGGCUUGGUAACGUAGCUAACGCGUGAAGUUGACCGCCUGGGGAGUACGGUCGCAAGAUUAAAACUCAAAGAAAUUGACGGA
rnacentral:rRNA from 1 species